CCUACGGGGGGCUGCAGUGGGGAAUAUUGGACAAUGGGGGGAACCCUGAUCCAGCCAUGCCGCUUGUGUGAAGAAGGCCCUCGGGUUGUAAAGCACUUUCAGUGAGGAAGAACGCCUGGUGGUUAAUACCCAUCAGGAAAGACAUCACUCACAGAAGAAGCACCGGCUAACUCCGUGCCAGCAGCCGCGGUAAUACGGAGGGUGCGAGCGUUAAUCGGAAUUACUGGGCGUAAAGCGCGCGUAGGUGGCUUGAUAAGCCGGUUGUGAAAGCCCCGGGCUCAACCUGGGAACGGCAUCCGGAACUGUCAAGCUAGAGUGCAGGAGAGGAAGGUAGAAUUCCCGGUGUAGCGGUGAAAUGCGUAGAGAUCGGGAGGAAUACCAGUGGCGAAGGCGGCCUUCUGGACUGACACUGACACUGAGGUGCGAAAGCGUGGGUAGCAAACAGGAUUAGAUACCCUGGUAGUC
rnacentral:rRNA from 1 species